rnacentral:tRNA from 1 species
GCCGAGGUAGCUCAGUCGGUAGAGCACAGCACUGAAAAUGCUGGUGUCCCUGGUUCGAUUCCAGGCCUCGGCACCA